rnacentral:pre_miRNA from 1 species
AGUAAGAGUACUUUCUGUGGGUUUGGAUGCCCAACGUUUGACCGUCCGUCUUAUUUGAAAUUUUUUAUUACUAUUUUUAUUGCUAUUAGAUGAUAAAAUAUAAAUAGUAAUUUAUGUAUGACUUAAUUUUUUAAAAAAAUCAUAAAUUUUUCAAAUAUGUAUGACUUAAUUUUUAAAAAAAUCAUAAUUUUUUCAAAUAAAAUGAACAGUUAAACGUUGGACACAGAAACUUAUGGUACACUUAAA